rnacentral:rRNA from 1 species
CCUACGGGGAGCAGCAGUGAGGAAUAUUGGUCAAUGGACGAGAGUCUGAACCAGCCAAGUAGCGUGAAGGAUGACUGCCCUAUGGGUUGUAAACUUCUUGUAUAAAGGAAUAAAACGAGGCACGUGUGCCUUUUUGCAUGUACUUUAUGAAUAAGGAUCGGCUAACUCCGUGCCAGCAGCCGCGGUAAUACGGAGGAUCCGAGCGUUAUCCGGAUUUAGUGGGUUUCAAGGGAGCGUAGAUGGGUUGUUAAGUCCGUUUUGAAAGUUUGCGGCUCAACCGUAAAAUUGCAAUUGAUACUGGCAGUCUUGAGUACAGUUGAGGUAGGCGGACUUCGUUGUGUAGCGGU